GUUGCCAGCUGGGCAAAAAAUUCCAAGUUGUGAUGUCUUGUUACCCUUAAUUGCAAGGACCUAAAUGAUUUUUGUGAUAUGUCUGAUAAUAAUGAUACGAGACUUCCGGCGCGGCCUGACAAUCCCCCGCUGUGUUCGAAAGUGUCGCAAGACCAAAGUCAAAUCGCCACGUCAACGUUCCCGUCCCCCGCCUCCCGUUUCUUCGACUGGCUGCUGUCCCAGCCUGAAUCCCGGGAGCAACCCCAGGAGCAGCCACAGGCAGCGCACCAGCAAUGCCAUCAGCAGCAACAGGAGCAAUGGCCUUCCCGAGCAAGCAUGGACCCCAGUCAAGCUCUGGUUGGCAGGUUUGCGAGCGGUGGUAAUUCUGCCGAUGCUUUAACGCAGCCCGCUAAUGAUAUCAUUGGUAGUGGCUCAAUGACAACACCGCAGACCCAUGGGUUCACUGGUUCCUGGAUGGCAGGGAUGCUGCAAGAACAGCAGCAGCCGCAACAACAGCAGCAGCUGCAACUACCUCCUCUACCGCCAACAAAGACUGGCAGCAGUCUACACCAGUCACAAUAUGGUAACACGCCAACAGCAUCCUCCCUCAGUGGACCGAGUGGCGCAGCAGUAUACUCUGAUAUGAGAUCGCCGUACCAUCGCCCUGGCAGCAGACCUGUGCAGCAAGGUCACACAUCUUACUCUGAAUCUUCGGUGAAGGCAAUCUCUGGACAACAGAGCAGUACCCAUGGGUUCAGUGGAUCCUGCAUGGAUGGGAUCCUGCAACAACAGCAGCAGCCACAACAACCUCAGCAGCUGCAACAACCUCCCCCACCGCCAGCAAAGACUGGCACCAGUCUACACCAGUCACAGUAUGGUAACACGCCAACGGCAUCCUCCCUCAGUGGACCGAGAGGCGCAGCAGUAUACGCUGAUACGAGAUCGCCGUACCAUCGCCCUGGCAACAGACCUGGGCAGCAUGGUCACACAUCUUACUCUGGAUCUUCGGUGAAGGCACAGCCGGGACACCAGAGCAGUAUUUCACAGCAUGCAGAAUUAGAACAUUCACUUGUCCGGGGUCAGCUGGAACGAGCGAGGCUGUGGAGAGAAAAGCUGCAUAAAACGCUCAAGGCGCACAAACGUGAAGAGCAGAUAUUACAGGCAAUGAUACAGCAGCAGCAGCAGCCGCAACAACAGCAGCAGCCGCAACAACAGCAGCAGCCGCAACAUCAUCAACCGUCACAACAGCAGCAGCCGCCACAACAGCAGCCGCCACAACAGCAGCAGCUGCGGCAACCUCCCUUACCGCCGGCAGCGAUUGGCAGCAAUCUAUACCAGUCGCAGUAUGGUAACACGCCAACGGCAUCCUCCGCCAGUGGAUGGAGUGGCGCAGCAGUUUACGCUGAUAGAAGCUCUUCAAAUUAUCAUCUUAGCAACAGACCGGUCCAGCAAGGUCACACAUCUUACUCUGGAUCUUCGGUGAAGGCACUGUCGGGACACCAGAGCAGUCAGCAGCAGCAGCAGCCGCAACAGCAGCAGCAGCCGCAACAACAUCAACCAUCACAACAGCAGCAGCCGCCACAACAGCAGCCGCCACAACAGCAGCAGCUGCGGCAACCUCCCUUACCGCCGGCAGCGAUUGGCAGCAAUCUAUACCAGUCGCAGUAUGGUAACACGCCAACGGCAUUCUCCGCCAGUGGAUGGAGUGGCGCAGCAGUUUACGCUGAUAGAAGCUCUUCAAACUAUCAUCUUGGCAACAGACUGGUGCAGCAAGGUCACACAUCUUACUCUGGAUCUUCGGUGAAGGCACUGUCGGGACACCAGAGCAGUCAGCAGCAGCAGCCGCAACAACAGCAGCAGCCGCAACAACAGCAGCAGCCGCAACAACAUCAACCGUCACAACAGCAGCAGCCGCCACAACAGCAGCAGCUGCGGCAACCUCCCUUACCGCCGGCAGCAAUCUAUACCAGUCGCAGUAUAGUAACACGCCAACGGCAUCCUCCGCCAGUGGAUUGAGUGGCGCAGCAGUUUACGCUGAUAGAAGCUCUUCAAACUAUCAUCUUGGCAACAGACCGGUGCAGCAAGGUCACACAUCUUACUCUGGAUCUUCUGUGAAGGCACUGUCGGGACCCCAGAGCAGUGUGAAAACAAAGGAUCUAGGGCUGAGCUUGUGAAGCGGCGUAAGGAAGAGAAAGCCAAGAACCGGGGAAUUAGCUCUGCCGCUGUUGGGUCUGAUCUAGGACUUAGCUCUGCCUCUGUUGGGUCUGAUCAGGGUAUUAGCUCAGCCUCUGGUGGGUUUGAUCAGGGAAUUAGCUCUGCCUCUGGCGGAAAUGAUCAUUUCGAGGACUCCCACGACGAUGACAGUUCCGGCGGCGGACAGGGUGCGGGAAUAUAACGAAUUGAAUACAAUGACUUUGAGGUACGUGCCAUGACAGUGUGUCUGCUGGCAUCGUGAGUCGGUCUCACCGACAGGCUGCUGUGCCUCAGACUGAGUAAGAAUAUCUGGGCUGCUGGCUGCAGAUGCGCGGGCAUGAUGUGAAUGUCGAUGCUAUGAACAAGAUGAGCUCGUUGAGUUGUCGACUACAUUACCUUCUUAGCUUCUCAAAAUCGCGUGCAGCAAUGCUGGGAGAAUGCUGUUCAAUGGCCUACAGACUUAGUCAAGACUCAGCACCAUCGAGUUUGUCACAUUCUCUUACUAAGGCAACUUCAGAGUAUAAUGCAAGAAAUUUGGACCUUUAAAACUCUGCACUUUCAGACUUUAUUUUUGUCCAGUGUUUCGUCCAGUGUUUGGUCCAGUGUUUUUGUUCAGUGUUUUGUCCAGUGCGUGUGUGCUCCAGCAAUGCUUGUUCUCCAAGCUGGUAUAUUCCUAUUGCUGCUGCUGCUAUCAAGAAAUGUGCCCUGUAAAUAUUCUUCAUAUUUCACUCCUCAUGCUAGGGCUAUAUUGACUGUUUGUAUUUGACUCCUUUUUAGGGAUCAAAAGACAUGGUUUGGGUUGUCAUGACAACAAUCUAGUAUUGACUUUGUUAAAAAAAAGUAAAAUUCGCACUUCCGCGUUACCACCGGCUAUGCAAUUCAAUUG